GUGGGGAAUAUUGGACAAUGGGCGAAAGCCUGAUCCAGCCAUGCCGCGUGUGUGAAGAAGGUCUUCGGAUUGUAAAGCACUUUAAGUUGGGAGGAAGGGCAGUAAGUUAAUACCUUGCUGUUUUGACGUUACCGACAGAAUAAGCACCGGCUAACUUCGUGCCAGCAGCCGCGGUAAUACGAAGGGUGCAAGCGUUAAUCGGAAUUACUGGGCGUAAAGUGCGCGUAGGUGGUUUUGUAAGUUGGAGGUGAAAUCCCCGGGCUCAACCUGGGAACUGCCUCCAAAACUGCAUGACUAGAGUACGGUAGAGGGUAGUGGAAUUUCCUGUGUAGCGGUGAAAUGCGUAGAUAUAGGAAGGAACACCAGUGGCGAAGGCGACUACCUGGACUGAUACUGACACUGAGGUGCGAAAGCGUGGGGAGCAAACAGGAUUAGAAACCCCAGUAGUCC
rnacentral:rRNA from 1 species